AUUGAACGCUGGCGGCAGGCCUAACACAUGCAAGUCGAGCGAGCGGCGGACGGGUGAGUAAUGUAUGGGGAUCUGCCCGAUAGAGGGGGAUAACUACUGGAAACGGUGGCUAAUACCGCAUACUAUCGGAUGAACCCAUAUGGGAUUAGCUAGUAGGUGGGGUAACGGCUCACCAAGGCAACGAUGCAUAGCCGCCCUGAGAGGGUGAUCAGCCACACUGGGACGGAGACACGGUCCAGACUCCGACGGGAGGCAGCAGUGGGGAAUAUUGCACAAUGGGCGCAAGCCUGAUGCAGCCAUGCCGCGUGUAUGAAGAAGGCCUUAGGGUUGUAAAGUACUUUCAGCGGGGAGGCGUUACCCGCAGAAGAAGCACCGGCUAACUCCGUGCCAGCAGCCGCGGUAAUAC
rnacentral:rRNA from 1 species